UGGGGAAUAUUGGACAAUGGGCGAAAGCCUGAUCCAGCCAUGCCGCGUGUGUGAAGAAGGUCUUCGGAUUGUAAAGCACUUUAAGUUGGGAGGAAGGGCAGUAAGCGAAUACCUUGCUGUUUUGACGUUACCGACAGAAUAAGCACCGGCUAACUCUGUGCCAGCAGCCGCGGUAAUACAGAGGGUGCAAGCGUUAAUCGGAAUUACUGGGCGUAAAGCGCGCGUAGGUGGUUCGUUAAGUUGAAUGUGAAAGCCCCGGGCUCAACCUGGGAACUGCAUCCAAAUGCGGCGAGCUUGAGUAGGGCAGAGGGUGGUGGAAUUUCCUGUGUAGCGGUGAAAUGCGUAGAUAUAGGAAAGAUCACCAGUGGCGAAGGCGACCACCUGGGCUCAUACUGACACUGAGGUGCGAAUGCGUGGGGAGCAAACAGG
rnacentral:rRNA from 1 species